GCAGGCUGAAAUUCGCCUGCAUGAAGCCGGAAUUGCUAGUAAUGGCAGGUCAGCAUACUGCCGUGAAUACGUUCCCGGGCCUUGUACACACCGCCCGUCACACCAUGAGAGUUGGGGAUACCCAAAGCCCGUGAGCCAACUUUAAAAGAGGCAGCGGUCUAAGGUAGAAUCAAUGAUUGGGGUGAAGUCGUAACAAGGUAUC
rnacentral:rRNA from 1 species